GAUGAACGCUGGCGGCGUGCCUAAUACAUGCAAGUCGAGCGAACGGACGAGAAGCUUGCUUCUCUGAUGUUAGCGGCGGACGGGUGAGUAACACGUGGAUAACCUACCUAUAAGACUGGGAUAACUUCGGGAAACCGGAGCUAAUACCGGAUAAUAUUUUGAACCGCAUGGUUCAAAAGUGAAAGACGGUCUUGCUGUCACUUAUAGAUGGAUCCGCGCUGCAUUAGCUAGUUGGUAAGGUAACGGCUUACCAAGGCAACGAUGCAUAGCCGACCUGAGAGGGUGAUCGGCCACACUGGAACUGAGACACGGUCCAGACUCCUACGGGAGGCAGCAGUAGGGAAUCUUCCGCAAUGGGCGAAAGCCUGACGGAGCAACGCCGCGUGAGUGAUGAAGGUCUUCGGAUCGUAAAACUCUGUUAUUAGGGAAGAACAUAUGUGUAAGUAACUGUGCACAUCUUGACGGUACCUAAUCAGAAAGCCACGGCUAACUACGUGCCAGCAGCCGCGGUAAUACGUAGGUGGCAAGCGUUAUCCGGAAUUAUUGGGCGUAAAGCGCGCGUAGGCGGUUUUUUAAGUCUGAUGUGAAAGCCCACGGCUCAACCGUGGAGGGUCAUUGGAAACUGGAAAACUUGAGUGCAGAAGAGGAAAGUGGAAUUCCAUGUGUAGCGGUGAAAUGCGCAGAGAUAUGGAGGAACACCAGUGGCGAAGGCGACUUUCUGGUCUGUAACUGACGCUGAUGUGCGAAAGCGUGGGGAUCAAACAGGAUUAGAUACCCUGGUAGUCCACGCCGUAAACGAUGAGUGCUAAGUGUUAGGGGGUUUCCGCCCCUUAGUGCUGCAGCUAACGCAUUAAGCACUCCGCCUGGGGAGUACGACCGCAAGGUUGAAACUCAAAGGAAUUGACGGGGACCCGCACAAGCGGUGGAGCAUGUGGUUUAAUUCGAAGCAACGCGAAGAACCUUACCAAAUCUUGACAUCCUCUGACCCCUCUAGAGAUAGAGUUUUCCCCUUCGGGGGACAGAGUGACAGGUGGUGCAUGGUUGUCGUCAGCUCGUGUCGUGAGAUGUUGGGUUAAGUCCCGCAACGAGCGCAACCCUUAAGCUUAGUUGCCAUCAUUAAGUUGGGCACUCUAAGUUGACUGCCGGUGACAAACCGGAGGAAGGUGGGGAUGACGUCAAAUCAUCAUGCCCCUUAUGAUUUGGGCUACACACGUGCUACAAUGGACAAUACAAAGGGCAGCGAAACCGCGAGGUCAAGCAAAUCCCAUAAAGUUGUUCUCAGUUCGGAUUGUAGUCUGCAACUCGACUAUAUGAAGCUGGAAUCGCUAGUAAUCGUAGAUCAGCAUGCUACGGUGAAUACGUUCCCGGGUCU
rnacentral:rRNA from 1 species